CGGUGGAGGCCCCUCCUCCCAGUGCCCGGCCCGACCUGCAGCCCACUCUCCUGCCUCAGGGAGCCGGGGGUCGGCCGGUCCUCUACCAGGUGGUGGCCCAGCACAGCUACUCCGCCCAGGGGCCAGAGGACCUGGGCUUCCGACAGGGGGACACGGUGGACGUCCUGUGUGAAGUGGACCAGGCAUGGCUGGAGGGCCACUGUGACGGCCGCAUCGGCAUCUUCCCCAAGUGCUUCGUGGUCCCUGCCGGCCCUCGGAUGUCAGGAGCCCCCGGCCGCCUGCCCCGAUCCCAGCAGGGAGAUCAGCCCUAACGAUGCUGUGUCCAUGAUGCUUUUAAUAAAAAC
rnacentral:lncRNA from 1 species